rnacentral:antisense_RNA from 1 species
CUCACUCUGACCAGCCUCCCUAUGAAGAUGUGUGCUUCUCCUUUUCCUUAUGCCAUGAUUGUACGUUUCCUGAGGCCUCUCCAGCAAUGCAGAACUGUAAUUAUCCAGUUGAUAUUUAUCUUGUUCCAGUCACCUUAAGAAAGCUGUUUGGCAAGGGCAGUGACUGGAAGCUGGGAGAGAGGGUCAACAGCUGAAUCUC